rnacentral:misc_RNA from 1 species
GAAAUGCGAUAAGUAAUGCGAAUUGCAGAAUCCGUGAGUCAUCGAAUCUUUGAACGCACAUUGCACCCUUUGGUAUUCCGAAGGGCAUGCCUGUUCGAGCGUCAUUAUCACCCCUCAAGCUCCGGCUUGGUGUUGGGCUGGAUUUGUCAAAAAAUCGGCCUCAAAGAUAGUGACGGCGUUCCAGAUGGAACCGGUACGAGGAGCUUUUAACCAAGCAUGUACGCGGCGUGAAUCUGUGGGCGGCCAUCUUCAACCACUACUCUUCUGGAGUAUCUUUCUAAGUGUUGACCUCGGAUCAGGUAGGGAUACCCGCUGAACUUAA